rnacentral:rRNA from 1 species
UACGUAGGGUGCUAGCGUUGUUCGGGAUCAUUGGGCGUAAAGCGCGUGUAGGCGGUUAGUUAAGUCGAGUGUGAAAUCCCUGGGCUCAACCGAGGAAGUGCACCCGAAACUAACUAGCUGGAAGAUGGUAGAGGAAGGUGGAAUUCCAAGUGUAGAGGUGAAAUUCGUAGAUAUUUGGAGGAAUACCGGUGGCGAAGGCGGCCUUCUGGACCA